UCUGCCAUGAUUGUGAGGCUUCCUCAGCCAUGUGGAACUAAGUCCAUGGAUAUGCCUACCACAUCAUGGAGUGAAUUGUGUCCUUGCCCCCCAAAUUCAUAUGUUGAAGCACUAACCCUCCAGUACGUCAGAAUGUAACUAUAUUUGGAAAAAAGUCCUUUAAGGAGGGUGUUAAUUUAAAAUCAGGCUAUUUAGGGUAUGUCCUACUCCAAUCUGACUGGUGUCCUAGAAAGAAAAGAUCAGGACAUACGAGAGAGAAAGUGAGAAGGCUACCAUCUGCAAGCCAAGGAAAAGAGGCUUCAGGAGAAACCAAAUCUGCAGGCACCUUAAUCUUGAACUUCCAGUCUCCAGAACUGUGAGAAGUAAAUUUCUGUUGUUUAAGCCA